rnacentral:tRNA from 1 species
GCCUGUGUGGCUCAGUCGGUUAAGCGUCCGACUUCAGCUCAGGUCAUGAUCUUGCAGUUCGUGGGUUCAAACCCCACAUCGGGCU